CUGCCACAAUUGGGAUAAGAGUGAAAUGAACAUUCCAUUUCCAAGCUCCGGAUGUACGGGAGAUAAUAUAGAGAUCUGACACCCAUGUCUAUUUGGCUGUUGAAUCUUGGCAACUGAGUCCAUUAACCCCGUAGCGUCAUGUACUCCUGGAGUCUUCUUGAGAGCUGUGUGAUGUUAUAGGCAGCAGAGUUUACAGUGGCACAAAUCAGGAAUAACGUCAGUGAAGUCUGUGGAAUUAAACUGGUGUAAGUGAGGAUAUUCAGGCUUUUCUUCUAUUCAGACCUCCUUACUCUGACAUGUAAAUUGACUACCUUUUU
rnacentral:lncRNA from 1 species